rnacentral:rRNA from 1 species
GAUGUAAUAAAAAAAAUUUUUUUUAAUUUUAUAUUACAUCAAUAAAAAUAGAUGAGUUUGGUGAUGGCUCUGAUUGAACACUGUUCAAAUACUUGACACAUGCUAAUCGAACGUUUAAUUUUUGGCCUAAGAAAGGGGUUUCAUCGUGGCUUAAGCUAAGGGGUUUAUUGUGGCUUAAGCUAAGGUUUAAUCUUUGACUUAAGCGGGUGUUUUAGGGGAACUUGUGCCCCUAAAACCUCUUAAUUAAAAGUGGUGUACAGGUGAGUAUAAUAUUUUUUCGCUUAACUUAAAGUGAAGGCAAAUCCUUCAUAUUGCAAAAGGAUAUCUUAGGCACCUGUUGAAAGGGGCCUACUUAUAUUAUAUCCGCUUUAAGAGGAUGAGAAAAGUUUCAGAGAUAGGUAGUUGUUAAGGUCAUGGCUUAACAAGCCAAUAAUUCUCUUAGUCGAAGCUGAAAAGGCUGAUCGACCACAUUGGGAAUGAAAAAAUCCCAAGGCAAAUAGGUACAGCAGUGAGGAAUCUUGGUCAAUGGGCCCACGCCUGAACUGGUAACUUGGAGGAAUGAGGGGUCAACUUUGCAAAUGGAUGAGUGAUCGUUAGAAGAUCCUUAGUCCCCUGGUCUUCUUGACACAUGAGGUAUAUACUUCUAGUCCAUAUUGGGGGGAGACUCCACGUCGAUUUAUCGAGUAAAAUUCUGUAUACAUAUUGGAUAAUGACAAUAUGUACAUUUGUCUUGACUAAUUACGUGCCAGCAGUCGCGGCAAUACGUAAGAGACUAGUGUUAAUCAUCAUAAAUAGGUUUAAAGGGUACUCAGACGGAAAAAUUCGCCCAAAUAUAGGGGACAAUUUUUCUAGAGUUUUAUGUAAGAAGGUCGUACUCUAGAGUGGAGAGAUAAAAUUCUGUGAUACCUAGGGGACGGGUAAAGGCGAAGGCAAUCUUUUAUGUAAAAACUGACGUCGAAGGACGAAGGCAAAGGGAACAAAAAGGAUUAGAUACCCCAGUAGUCUUUGCAGACAAUUAUGAAUGCCAUAGGUUAGAUUUUUAAUUUAGUCUAUAAAUGAAAGUGUAAGCAUUUCACCUCAAGAGUAAGGCGGCAACGCAGGAACUGAAAUCACUAGACCGUUUCUGACACCAGCAAUGAAGUAUGUUAUUUAAUUCGGUGACCCACGAAAAACCUUACCACAAUUGAAUAUUAAUAAUAAUGAUAUUAUUUUUUAUGCUUGAUAUGGCAAGCACUCAAUUUUCCCCUCCCCGUAGGUUUGCCGCGGGGGGGGAGAAAAAAGAAAAAUAAUGGAUAAUAUAGUAAAUACCAUAUUCCAACUAUAUUUAAUUAUUAAUACAAGUGUUGCACGGCUGUCUUCAGUUGAUGUUGCGAAACUGUGGUUCGUUCCAUGGAAUUAACGUAAACCCUUGCUUUAUUUGUAAAUAUUAUAAAGCAGUUCACCUUUAUAUAGGAAAUGAUAAAAGGGAUCAGACAAGUCAUCAUGGCCUAAAUAUUGUGGGCUAUAGACGCGCCACAUUUUCCUAAACAAAGAGAUGCAAAAAUGUGAAUUUUAGCUAAUCUCAAAAAAUAGGAUAAAAAUAUACAAGGAUUGUAGUCUGAAAUUCGGACUGCAUGAAUAAGAAAUUGCUAGUAAUCGUGAAUCACCAUGACACGGUGAAUAUUCCCUCGGAUUGGUACUAACCACUCGUCACAUGCUGAAAGGAGUGCGUGCAAUAAGUUUGCUUUUCUAUUAUAAGUAAGUAGACAUAUAGGUUUAGAUGUUAUAAUAGGAUCCUUCGUAUGCGCGGCUCUGAUUAGUGUUAAGUCGAAAUACGGUUCGUGUAGUGGAAGUUGCACGGGACUUAUCAAUGUUGAACAAUACGAUUGGAUAUACACCCCUUGGGUUCGUGGCGAAAAUUGCCUCGUUCCAUUUUAUAGGGAAAAUAUAUCCUUAUGUAUAUAUUCUUUAUUUUAAAGUAUAUAUAUAUAA